rnacentral:lncRNA from 1 species
CACAAUCUUCAAUCUGAUCUUCACCACUCAUCUUCCUGUGAAAUUAAUGAUAGCAAAGCAACAAAUAUAUGUGGAAUAUGAAGUUAUAUGUGGAAACUCACAAUCUCACCUCUCUUACCAACCGAAGCUCUUAUGAAUUCCUGCGGAUUACAAAAGGGCCAAAGCGCGAUGGUAUCACGAGAGUAAUGGUUAAGCGAAUACAAGAUCAGUGUUCCUAUGAUGGUGGCUUUUAAGUGGAGCUUAGUGGGGAAUGAUUCACAAGGAAUGCAAUCUGAAUUCUAGUUGUUGUAAAGAUAAGUAACAAUCCAAACUAGAGAUCCAAUGCCUAGUGCCGAUCACGAGAUAUGAUUGAUGUAACCAAAGCAACUUGUGGUGUACGUUCAACACUUGUGCACAUCAACAAUCUGAUACUUCUUUUUUCUCUUUUUUUAACUUUUAUCAACACUUUUUUUUGCAACUUUCUUUCUUCUUCUUUUUUUUUGAGAUAUGAUAGGCACAAAGGACACAGAAAGAUGAUAUGAUCAGCAACUAAAUAAAGACUCUAAUGGACAGAAACUUAUCAAAACUCACAAAAAUGACAGAUUGAAACAAAAGGUUAUGGCAAAUAUUUUUCUAGAUUUUUAGUGGAUAGGACGAACACAAAAUAUAUGUAGCUAAGGGUAAAAGAAUUCCUACCGUGGCAACUGAAGCUCUGAUACUAGAUGAUGGGGUCUUGGUCCCGAUAUUCAUGACGUAGGAUCUCUAUCUUGAUAACUUGCCAAAAAAUGACCGAUAACUUGCUGCAAGCAGCGAUAACUAGUGCAACCUGACGACGUGCACAAGGAGCCAACCACCGUCUCUAUACGGCAGGCUGAACCAAGGAUUCGCC